rnacentral:rRNA from 1 species
UACGUAGGGCGCAAGCGUUGUCCGGAAUUAUUGGGCGUAAAGAGCUCGUAGGCGGUUUGUCGCGUCUGCUGUGAAAACCUAAGGCUCAACCUUGGGCUUGCAGUGGGUACGGGCAGACUAGAGUGCGGUAGGGGUGACUGGAAUUCCUGGUGUAGCGGUGGAAUGCGCAGAUAUCGGGAAGAACACCCGUGGCGAAGGCGGCUCUCUGGGACGGUACUGACGCUGAGACGCGAAAGCGUGGGGAGCGAACAGG